AGCUCUGCUAGCGUAUAUUAAAGUUGUUGCAGUUAAAAAGCUCGUAGUUGAAUUUCCGGUAGGAGUGAUUGGUCCAUCACAACGUGUUGGAACCUGAUUGUCUCCAGCCAUCCUUGGAAAGAGUCUUCAUGGCAUUAAGUUGCCGAGUUGACAGUUUCCAUCAUUUACUGUGAAAAAAUUAGAGUGUUCAAAGCAGGCUUAUGCCAUUGAAUAUAUUAGCAUGGAAUAAUAAGAUAGGACUUUGGUACUAUUUUGUUGGUUUGCGCACCAGAGUAAUGAUAAAUAGGGACAGUUGGGGGUAUUCGUAUUCAAUUGUCAGAGGUGAAAUUCUUGGAUUUAUGGAAGACGAACUACUGCGAAAGCAUUUACCAAGGAUGUUUUCAUUAAUCAAGAACGAAAG
rnacentral:rRNA from 1 species